rnacentral:lncRNA from 1 species
GGGAUGGGAGGCAAAAAAAUUGCUCAGGCAGAGUUCUGUUCUACUAAUUACUCACCAAGACGUGAGUAAGACCAUUUUUGUAAGCAAUGAAUUGGCUCAUUUAGAAUUCCUUUGUUUUCAUUUUUAGAAAAAAGAAAGAGGAAGAAAGAAGAAAGUCAAAAGGAUGAAAGAACAAAAGCAGCUCCACAUAGAAAGAUAGACUCUUUUGCCAGCACAUUUAAGAAUCUAAAUGAGGCCAAGUGCCACGCAGAUAGAGGGACUCUGCCUGCUGCAUAGUAAAUAAAACGGAGGUGGGGGAAGCAUGCAUCAAACAAUACUUUCCGAGGGGACAACAACAAGGCUUAAGAGAAUUCAGACCCUGAGUUUCCUGCCUCACCAGGUACAGCCCAAGUCACCAGAGCUCAUAAAAGAUGUGUGUGCUGUCGCAUCUAUGUGAAGUAUUUCCAUGACCCGGGCAUUGACUGAGGGACUGUGCUGGAGGAAGCUGGAUCAAGGUACCAAGGUGAGUCAAAAGUCCUUUAUAUAAAACAUGAAUGGAAAUAUAAGUGCAUGCCCAUGUGUAUGGAUCCCAGACUUACAUGGCACCAAUUGACCUACUCACUCUGUAAUCA